UGCAUAACAGGAUACCUUGCAUUAGAUCUAAUCACAAAAACAGCAACAUUGAUUUUAACUUUGUUAAAUUCAUAACAAUAUUUGAUCAGAAAUAUGAUUUAAAAUUAUUUCUUUCUCUCUAGACUCUUCGGAGAUUGUAGUGGAGUGUGUGUUGGUGUGAAUGUGUAUCACAUCUUUUCACGUACAUGUGGUCUAAGCCGAACAUAAUUGGCAUCCUCUCACUUCUCUUACUCAGUCUAUCGUCCUGCUGUAUGUAAGAUUGAUAAAUUCUCUGAAAUGUUUACAUGUAUAGGUGAAGGAAUUUAUAUACCAUUGCCUUUAUUUACCAAUGCAUGUCAUGAACACAGCCUCUGACCCACUACAGCCUACAAAACAAAACAUAACACGGAUCAUACGUAUCAAUCUACGGUCUGUGUGUCUUAAUUUGUAUCGAGCGCAUCGGGAUUGUAUCCCAUAUAGCCAUCGCCACAAGAAAGACGUGUAAGUUGGUUACAGGGGAUAGUGCAAGAUACAGGAGACGACCCCUUCCAGAGGUGACCCUGGGUCUUUUAGUGCCAGGCGUACAGCACCUAGUACAACGCACCUCUGUUUAACGUCUCAUGCGAAAGACGAGUUUUUCAAAACACAUGAAAAUGUUUUGUCAAAUACUCACAUUAACAACUGAAUGUUAAAGUAUAUAGAUCCUGGAAGUGUGAACAUAUUUUUAACACAUAAAAAAAAUUAAUGUCAAACUUGAAUCCGGCUUUGGUUAAACAUUGCGUUAUUUAAGUAUAUCCGAAAUCCGUUCUCUCCGAAAUAUAGCCAUAUAUCAUAUUUCUAUGUAUUGAGGUUAGACGUUAAAAGCAAGAAAAAUCAAUAUCGCCAAAAUAUUAAUUAUAAUAAAACGUACCGAUUUUCACAAUGUGAACUCCUUGCUCCGAAAAUAAAUUAAUUGUCCAUUUUAAAGAACACACUGGCUGCCGCCAUGAAUCAUGUAUGCCUGACCCAAUAAAAAGCGUCAGGGGUAGGUAAUCCAGACUAUACGUCUUUGUACUUUUUUCCAGUGGAUUUAUUUGAACUUUUGUAUGUGGGUCCCAGACAGUUGGGGAGUAUUCUAAUGUAGGCCUAACUAUUGAUUUGUAAGCCAAAUCAUUAACUUUUGAUGACCUAAUUUUUAAGUUGCGUCGAAAAAAUACUAGUGCCUGGUUUGCAUGAUUACCUGUUGUUAAUAUGUUUAUCCCAUUUGAGGUCCCUUUGGAGCGUAAGACCUAGUUAUUUCGCGUGAUUUACUUUUUAAAAGAUGUGCUCAUGAAGAUUAUAUGAAAAGAUGUUAGGUUUUCUUUUUUGCGUAAUACUGAGGAUGAUGCAUUUUCAGGGUGGAAUUUCGUAAUUCUGUCCUGUUCACAUUGACCAGCAGCUUUAAUAUCUACCUGGAGGUAUCGGGCGUCGGAAAAGUUGUCGAUAUUUUUGUAGAUGAUGACCAUCUGGAACAAUUCUUAGAGAGCUAUGUUUCAUGUAUUCAGCAACGGCAUUUAUAUAGACGGAACUAAGAUGGGCCCCAAGACAGUUCCCUGUGCUACUCCGAAGGUUACAGGUACCUUGUAUGACAUGGUUCCCUCCAGGCAGCAGCAUAGGUUCUAUAGUGACCAUGUCGUAUUUUACCAUACUUUAUAAUAAUUAUGUCGGUCGAGUUCACUCCACCUUUAAAUGAUACGAGACCGGUAUCUACGCUCGAGCGAUCAUUUCUAUUGUUAAUUUAACUUUGUUGUUAGUUUAAAUUGAUUGGUUAGUAACUUGUGUAGGUAUCCUCGAGGAGUUAUCCUCGAGGAGUGUAGUGAUGUAUAAAUCAUAUUGACCACGGAGUUCAGAGCGGGAAGACGCAUUCUUCAGGCAUUUAUUUCACGUACAGAAUUCGUUAGUUUUAUCUACUUUCUUAAACAGUUUCACCAAUGGACGAACGAGACAUGAUUGUGUGAGUGAAGAGAAAGUAUUCAGAACCACAUUUUGAUUGCGGAAUCUCUUUCCUCAGGAGUUACUUCAGUAUUGCGUUAUAACGUUUAUGAUCUGUGGUGAACUAGUUAAAUAUUUAAAAUACAUAUAUAUAGCUUUAAUCUUCCCCCCUGAACUCUGGGUUACACUAUUUGAUAGGAAGUCAGAAAUCCAGAAGAAAGCAUUUGUGUUAAUUCCAUAGUAUUUAAGUUUGUAUAAGAUGUGAGUUACUUUAUCGAAAGCUUUAGCAAAAUCCACAAUGAUGAUGUCAGUUUGUAUACCUUGAUUAUUUGAAUGGGUUAGGUUUUGGAUGAAUGAUAUCAGUUGUCAUUCGCAAGAAGGGUAAGAUCUAAACCCGUGUUGGAGGUCAUAUAAAAUACUAUUAUAUACUAUUGUACACAAUAUAUUAUUUUAUCCAGGUGAGACGUGAUAGGCUAGCGAUGACAUGUUCAAUUAUUUUACUGUAAAUGCAUGUAGGUGAUGCGAUAUUAGCCUUUAAUUUAUAGCAUUAUGUUUGUCUCCUUUUUUAUACAGUUGGCAUACAUGUAAUUGUAUAUUUCCAAUCAGAUGUAUUUUUUUCAAAAUACAUGCAGAGACUUUUAAAAGAUUACAUUGCUGUCCAAUUGAUUGUCCGAUACUAAUAAUGUUGCAAUUAAUAUGAGUGUUACGUGUGUAGGGGCAAAAUGUUCAUUUGUCUCGAAUGACAAUAGUAAAUCAUCCCUUAUUAAUUAUGUAUGCAUGCCUGUAGAAAAUAUGGACAAUGUUAUACAUUGCAAAAUUAUUAAUGAUGAUUGUUUCUAAUCACAUACCGGUGCUGGUGAAAUUACUUAUACCGGUGUAUGAAAGCAAUGACCCAUUUAUAUACUAGAAUGUUCCAAGAAUAAAAUGGAAAACGCAGACUAGACAUGAACAAGGCCAAUAUCUGGUUUCUCCAGAAGACGAUGGUACUCUUCGAGAACUUCAAUUUCAAGCACUAGAUAAAUCCGAAAUCGACGGUGCGUAUCGAACUCUUACUAGUUCUCCUCACUCUGCCUCCAAGAUAUUACCCGUGACGUGAAAUGAGCCGCGAAUGGCCUGGUCAAGGCCAUCCGCGUAACUCAAGUAAUAAACAAUACAAACAAUACAAACAUGCAAAAGCUGACUUCCGGAGACUCUACCGGUUGCACUCAAACCAGAUCAUGCUACAACUAGACCAGGAUCUCAACAAGGCGGCUGAAAUGGACAGCAAAACAUUCUGGAAAAUUGUUAACUCCAGAAAGUAUAAAAUGCGACGUACGAAAGUGCUGGAAUUAAUAUUAAUAACAAGAUAUAGAGGAGCGCACACGAACCUAUCGAGCAAUUGGGUAACUAUUCCAAAAUGCUAUACACCCCGUCAGAUAACCCUACAUUUGAUAACAAAUGGAAACAACGCGUCGAAAUUAGGGUACAAAUUGUAAUGUCGACGAUUGAAGCCAUCAAAGACUGUCCAAUCGGUAAAGCCGCCGGAUGUGACACCAUAUGCUAAGAACAUUUACUUCUUGCGGUAAAUAUCCGUUCGCCCAUCAUAGCAAACGUUUUCUUAGAUAUGUUGCGAAAAGUUUAUGUCCCAGAAGAAAUGAAAAGGGUGUGAUAAUAACACUUCAUAAGGACGAUAAAAUCGCAAAGACGACUCAAACAACUAUCGAGCUAUAUCCCUGACUUCCUCUUUGUUGAAACGAUAAUUCUGCAACGCUGCAAGAACCAACAUACUUCGCUGCUUAAUGAGCAGAAGGACGGUUUACCAGAAGCAACUCAAUUUCUUAAUGACGUCAUUUAUGAUGCGCGAAAGUGUGUUUUACGCCCGUGAAUACAAAAGCAGCGUAUUAUACUUCUGCUUCCUGGACUGUCGCUAGGCUUUCGACCGGGUCUGGAACGAUGGCCUUAUUUACAAGUUGACUGAUGCCGGCUUGGACGCCACCAUGCUUCUUAAUAGAGCCUAAAUGUACCGGAACAUCACAAGUUGCGUUAGGCAAAAUUAAACAGAGGACCAAGCAGGAAAGCAAAACAUCACCGAUCCUGUAUCUCACUUUCAUUAGCGACCUUAUUAAAGAACUAACGGAUAGUGGUUACGGUUUAAUGUAUGUUCUAUGUGAACAUUUGUGCAACGACCGUUGCGGAUGAUAUGAUUCAGGUAUCAUUUUCCCGCCAUGGGCUACAAUGCAUGAUAUCAAUUUGUACCCUUCGCAGUUGCUGUUCGAGUAUAACUCCGACAAGUGUGGCCUUUAAUGACAGUGUAAGGUCUUGUCGCGAAAGAAAGUGGAAUAUGGGAACACAGGCACUAUAUGAAGUAUAGGUGUACAACCACCAAGGCCACAUACAUAUGCGACGAGCCACUUUCUUCAACCAAAUUACUGAACGGCGCUAGCAUCAAACUGCGAGGAACAUUCCUAAACAUACUAAAGGAGGUUAAAACCCACUUACACUUGAAACGUUAUACCAAACAGUGGUUAUACCUAAAACACACUACGGAUUUAAACUCUGGAAUACAGACACGCCUACGGACAUUUGCCCACAGGCUUUGGUUAAACACAUACAGUAAUUGAAACUAUCUACCAGUACUGACGUUUCACUCGCAGUGUUAGAUGUUGAAACGCUCGAAACAUAUGUUGACGCAAGAAAACUUUUAAAGUUAUGCAGUCUUCCUUGUAGAUACUUGGACAAGCAUGUCUUCCUGAAUAGACUGACGCGAUUUUUUAACUUUUUAACAAUGAUUUUCAAUGCUAAGGAUUUAUGCAGGGUAUAUUUAUAGGUUACUUCAUAAGUACAAUCUAA